rnacentral:rRNA from 1 species
GCUCAACCGAAGAAGUGCAUCGGAAACUGGGAGACUUGAGUGCAGAAGAGGACAGUGGAACUCCAUGUGUAGCGGUGAAAUGCGUAGAUAUAUGGAAGAACACCAGUGGCGAAGGCGGCUGUCUGGUCUGUAACUGACGCUGAGGCUCGAAAGUAUGGGUAGCAAACAGGAUUAGAUACCCUGGUAGUCCAUACCGUAAUCGAUGAAUGCUAAGUGUUGGAGGGUUUCCGCCCUUCAGUGCUGCAGCUAACGCAUUAAGCAUUCCGCCUGGGGAGUACGGCCGCAAGGCUGAAACUCAAAGGAAUUGACGGGGGCCCGCACAAGCGGUGGAGCAUGUGGUUUAAUUCGAAGCUACGCGAAGAACCUUACCAGGUCUUGACAUACUAUGCAAAUCUAAGAGAUUAGACGUUCCCUUCGGGGACAUGGAUACAGGUGGUGCAUGGUUGUCGUCAGCUCGUGUCGUGAGAUGUUGGGUUAAGUCCCGCAACGAGCGCAACCCUUAUUAUCAGUUGCCAGCAUUAAGUUGGGCACUCUGGUGAGACUGCCGGUGACAAACCGGAGGAAGGUGGGGAUGACGUCAAAUCAUCAUGCCCCUUAUGACCUGGGCUACACACGUGCUACAAUGGAUGGUACAACG